CAGUCGCGGGAAUACAGAGGGUGCGAGCGUUAAUCGGAUUUACUGGGCGUAAAGCGUGCGUAGGCGGCUUCUUAAGUCGGAUGUGAAAUCCCUGAGCUUAACUUAGGAAUUGCAUUCGAUACUGGGAAGCUAGAGUAUGGGAGAGGAUGGUAGAAUUCCAGGUGUAGCGGUGAAAUGCGUAGAGAUCUGGAGGAAUACCGAUAGCGAAGGCAGCCAUCUGGCCUAAUACUGACGCUGAGGUACGAAAGCAUGGGGAGCAAACAGGAUUAGAUACCCGCGUAGUCCCUGUCUCUUAUACACA
rnacentral:rRNA from 1 species